rnacentral:rRNA from 1 species
AGACGCUGGCGGCGUGGAUUAGGCAUGCAAGUCGGACGGUAGGGCUUUAUCGUAAGAUAGAGUUUGAGAGUGGCGAACGGGUGAGUAACACGUAGGAAUCUACCCUUAAGACGGGGACAACCCAGGGAAACUUGGGCUAAUACCGGAUGAGAGUGCGAGAGAUUGCAUUUAAAAGGAUGGCGAAAGUUGUCGCUUAGGGAUGAGCCUGCGGUCUAUUAGUUAGUUGGUGAGGUAAGAGCUCACCAAGGCGAUGAUAGAUAGGCGGCCUUAACGGGUGGUCGCCCACACUGGGAUUGAGAUACGGCCCAGACUCCUACGGGAGGCAGCAGUCGAGAAUAGUCUACAAUGGCCGGAAGGCUGAUAGUGCGACGCCGCGUGAACGAGGGAGCCCUUCGGGGUGUAAAGUUCUUUUCUGUACGAGCAGUGCUAUAUAUAUGGAUAGUAUAUAUAGAGGGAUAGUAGUAUAGGAAUAAGCAACGGCUAACUCCGUG